GUCUUUUUGAAAAUAAUUUAAAGUCAAAUCUGCCCACUGAUAAAAUAUUAAAGGGCUGCAGUAUAUUGACUGUACAAAGGUAGCAUAAUAAUUAGUCUUUUAAUUGAAGACUUGUAUGAAGGAUUUAAUGAAAUAUAGACUGUCUCUUUUUUAUAAUUAGAAUUUAAUUUUUUAGUAAAAAAGCUAAAAUUAAUUUAAAAGACGAGAAGACCCUAUAGAGUUUUAUAAUUAAAUUUAAUUAUAUAUUUAUGUUUAAUUUUGAAAUUAAUUAAUUUAAUUAUUUUAUUGGGGUGAUAGAAAAAUUAAAAUAACUUUUUUUUUAAAUUUAAACAUUAAUUAAUGGUUAUAUGAUCCAUAAAUUAUGAUUAUAAGAAAAAAUUACCUUAGGGAUAACAGCGUAAUUUUUUUUUUAGUUCUUAUAAGAAAAAAAGUUUGCGACCUCGAUGUUGGAUUAAGAUAAAAUUUAAAUGCAGAAGUUUAAAAUUUUUGAUCUGUUCGAUCAUUAAAAUCUUACA
rnacentral:rRNA from 1 species